rnacentral:lncRNA from 1 species
CUCUCCUAUUUUGAUGAAAACUCUGAAAAGUAAUCAUAGUUUACUGGUCCUUUAUUUUUAAAAAUGUAGGUAAUAAAUACAUGUGUAUUUAUAAGAAAUGUAAUAGGAAAGUGUAACAAAUAUUAGAAAUAGGAUUUUAAAAAUCAUUCUGAAGCUAACAGCAGUAGUUGCUGGUUAUACUUUUAAUUGCAUAGGUAUCCAAAUGCAACAAAAUGAAGUUCAUGGGAAUACAUUCCUUAAGUGAAGAGAACUCAUAGUAAGGUUUUUAAAGCUCAGUCACGUUUCUGAAAUAUCUGUAGCAAAAUAUCUACAUUUUUAACUAAAGCAAAAUAUUUUCUAGAGAAGUUACAUCUUAAAGAAUUGAACAAGUUUAUAAAUAUCUCAGCAAUGAUUAACCAAUCCGAUUUAUACGUAAAGAAAGCAAAUCAAUUUAUUUAGAAUUCCACUAGUAAAUUAUUCUCUUUGUGUGCAGUCUGUAAAAAUAUAAACUUACAUUUAAGUACUUCCUUGCUAGUUUGAGAAUCAUCUUUUUCUAAUGGGAAUGACAGGCAUAUAUUUUGAUAUUCACAGAAAGAACAAAUCCAACAGUAGUAAUAACUUGUUUUAAAAAUAAGUAUUCAAUUAUUUCAUUUUAACUUAUAGAAUUGUAUUUCUUUCCACUAAAAAAUAAGCAUGUUAGGCUUUUUGUGGAUUGUGUUGCCUUACUCAAACUUUUCUGGAGCCAGUGAAUGAACAUAUUUUAUACUCAGUUGAGAGAUUUCUAUCAGUAUACUUAAAGGCAAGCAGGGUGCAUAAUUAGGUAUGCCUGCCAUCUGCAUAGCCCUCCAGGUGCAAAAGGCAUUAGCUUUAUUUAAUAUUAUCACAACAUUAAUUUUACUCCAUUAAUUUAUGUCAUUUAUCCUUUAUUUCAAACUCAGAUUUCCAAAACUAAAGCACUGGGUGCGAUGACCCAAUUCUGAUUUUAGUGAAAGUCUUAUAAACAAAAUCUUAAGCAACCUCCCUAGCUAAGAAUAUACUUAAGAACAGGAAUUGACUGGCUGGCUUUCACAUCUUAAAAAAAGGAGUCCUAUAAACAAAAUGUUCUUGAUUUUAGUGUUACUAUUUUAGAGUUUUUUCCAAAGAGGAAGCACAUCAUAAGAUCAUGAUUUCAGGUGGCACUGACAAGGCACCAGGAAAUAUUAAAUCACAGCAUUAGAAAGGUAUGAAAAUGCCAUUCAGUUCCUUUAAGCCCAGAAAAGUUUCCAUGGAGUUUUUAACACUAUUCUAACAUUUGUGAUUCUCCCUUUCUAACAGAGAGCAGGGUGCAGACCUACAGUUUUGACUCUUGGUAGAUAAUAGUAUCUUGGCAGAAUUUUGUUCCUUUGCUUUAUGAACUUUUGCUCAUAGUCAUUUUGUAUUUAUGGCAAAUGAUACUGGUUUUCCAUUGAAAGUAAUGAGAUACUAUUUCUUUUGAGCAAAUUCAACUUAAAAUCAGUCUGCUUUAAAGAAAAAUGUUUAGUAAUUUAUAGUACAGUUAUAGAAAAACAUGGGAAACAUCAUGAAGGUUGUAUGUAAAACAAGUGAAACUUUGGAAAGUUUUGUAUAAGUUGAUUUGCAUCCAACUUCCAAAGAAAAAGACAUGAUUACACAAAUAUAAAAAUGGAAGGUUAUUUAGAGAAAGUACUGAAUUUAUAUGACUCUAUGUCUUAUAAGUACAACUGCUGCCAUCAUUCCUUAAAAGCUUAUUCUGUGCACAGUAUUAGUACUUCACAUGCAGUUAUCUCAUUUAAUUUUCCAAAACAAGAUAAAUCUUUUAAGUUUUGCCGAAUGUAAUAAAGUACAUUUAGGUGAAUGAAGUUCAGUGUAGUGGAACCGUGAAUGCCAAAUAUUUUAAGGUAGACUCGGGUCAAAAAUCAUAAUUUCCAGUACAUCAAUAAGAAAAUAUGUAAGAAGAAAAAUUAUGUUUUCCAAGGAUAACUGUGUUUGUUUCUGAAAAUAUGGAUGUAAAGAGGAGGAGGGUGAGGGGAGAAAGGAUCACAAAAUACUCACACUUGACACAACCUUCCAAAAAGUGUCUAAAGUUAAGUGAAUAAGUUGAAGUUUCCUCCUAGAAGCAGCCUAAGGCAGUGUUUUGAUGGUGUUAUCCUUUUGGAAAUUUCAAAUAACAACUCCAGUGAAGCAAUUCUGAGAUCCUUACCAUACAUUUGCCUCCUGCUUGACAUAAUGCCUUUUAAGGGCCUAUUAUUGAACUUUCAGUACUUGACUGACAAUAACAAUUCUUACACAGAUAAUACCAUUUUUGUUCUAAAUUACACUGAAAUGAAUAUGGAAUACUUGUAUUUUGAGGAAAAGGAAAAUUCAAUGCCAAGCAUAUAAAAAUCACCUUAAGAACAUUUGCUUUCCCCAGUUUUCAUGCUCUUAGUUAGAACUUUUCUUGACACCAAUUUUUUGCCUCUUAAGGUAUUGAAGGCCAAUCCUGCCUUACAAAUAACUCUCUUUAGAAAAGGACAAAGUUAAACAUUAAUUCCUAGUAGUCAAAGUUGAGAAACAUCUUUGCACAAAUCAAAUGCAUUCCAGAAUAUCUGUCACUGACAUGAAACAACACACCAGGGCUGCUGAAAGCAAGUGAUGAUAGUUUUGACAUUCCCACACCUAGACCAAAAAAAAAAAAGCCUAUUUAUUACUUGUCUCCCUGAACACAUCCUUUCAACUUCUCUAUUCACCCUGGGAUCUCAAGAGGGGCACCAAAUCAUUGUACGGCAUUCUCAGACAAUAAACUAGCUGAGCAAAUCUAAGGCAGUUUAGUAUCAUAUACCUCAGAGCAGGGAAGAGCUCCUUUUGCUUCUUCCUAUCUAUCAGAAUCUGCUUUGUCAAGAUUCAUAAAAUGGAAAAAAAAAACCCUCUCCUCCUUUAUCUUUUUUUUUUUUUCGCGACGGAGUCUCACUCUGUCACCCAGGCUGGAGCACAGUGGCGUGAUCUCGGCUCACGGCAAGCUCCACCUCCCGGGUUCACACCAUUCUCCUGCCUCAGCCUCCCAAGUAGCUGGGACUACAGGCGCCCGCUACCAUGCCCGGCUAAUUUUUUUGCAUUUUUAGUAGAGACAGGGUUUCACUGUUAGCCGGGAUGGUCUUGAUCUCCUGACCUCAUGAUCUGCCUGCCUCAGCCUCCCAAAGUGCUGAGAUUACAGGUGUGAGCCACUGUGCCCGGCCCCUUUGUCUUAUCUUUAACGAAUUUUAAUUUUUUUAUGCUUCUAACUCCAUCACUGUUCUGAUAUAUGAAUUUUACUGAUUGGCUACAUUACCUUGCUAUUCCUGCUGCUAAUAUAUGUGUGUGUGUGUGUGUGUGUGUGUGUGUGUGUGUGUGUGUGUGUGUGUGUAUAUAUGAAAUACUUUAUUACUGUUAUUAUCCUUUUGGAGUGGUAUGAAGAAUACCAGAAAUCUGUGGUAUUUCCAGUUUGAUUUAAUCAAACGUAAUUAUAUUUAUGGAACCUAUUAUGGGCAAUCCACUGUUUUGGGUAGUAUGUUGGCAUUAACAUUGUAAUAGUCAAGUCUUUAUUUAAACUCUUUGUUCAAGUACUUUCUUCUUUCUUCUUUCACCACAGACAACUACUAUAUUUCCAGAAAGAAAAAAUAUAGCAAGCAUAAGGCUUCAUUACUUAUCCCCAGGACUUAUGAAUCUAUAUUCUUUUCCUCUCAAACUUUACUUUCCUUCCUCCCUCCCUCCUUCCAUUUUCUCUUUAAUGUGCUUUGUCUUUGUUAAUUAAUAGCUACUCACAGAGUUUCUCCUGUUAGCCAGACAUAAUGACAGUAGCUCAGGACACAAACUUUUUUUUUUUUUUGAGACAAGGUUUUACUCCCAUUGCCCACUGGAGUGCAAUGGUGCGAUCUUGGCUCACUGCAACCGCUGCCUCCCAGACUCAAGUGAUUCUCCUGCCUCAGCCUCCCGAGUAGCUGUCUGGCUAGUUGUUUUUUUUUGUUUUUUGUACUUUCUGUAGCGACGGGGUUUUACCAUGUUGCUCAGGCUGGUCUCAAAAUCCUGAGCUCAAGAGAUCAGCUCACCUCGGCCUCUCAAAGUGCUGGAAUUACAGGCAUGAGCCACCACGUGCAACCAACAUUUAAGAUACUCUAACAGUUUCCCAGUGCUUAAACAAAGUACCACAAACUGUGGCUUAAAACAACAGAGAUUUAUUUUCUCACAGUAUAGAGGGCAGAAGCCUGAAAUCAAGGUGUCAAUAAGGCCAACUUCUUUCUGAAGGCCCUAGGGAAAAAACAUUCCUUGUCUCUUCCAGCUUUUGAGGGCCCCCUAGGUAUUCCUUGGCUUGUUUGUUUUGUUUUGUUUUGCCUCCAUCUUCAUGGGGCCUUCUUCCCUAUGUCUGUGCCUUCACAAUACCUACUUACACAGAAACCAGUCCUAGGAUAGAGAACACCCUAAAUCAGCAUGAACUUAACUCAUUACAUCUGCAAAGACCCCAUUUCCAAAGGUCACGUUCUGAGGUUCCAGAUGGACAUGAAUCAUGGGAAGACACUAUUUAAACUGGGCUGUUCUUGUUGGGGGCACUUAGACAUUAUGAAACUUGAAGGGGUUGGGUGGCUUUCUCCCAUACAGUCUGGUAUGGAGCAUCCUCUAUAAAAAUUCUUUGCUAGCUCAAACUCAGAUGUGAGGUUAGUUCAUCUUCCAGCAGCCUACCAUGAAAU